rnacentral:rRNA from 1 species
AUGCCAUCUGCAACUGAAGUAGCAGCCUUGAUUGUCAAUGAUACAACAGAGAAUGGAAAAGUAAAUGAUAUCAUUGUUCAGUACAAAGACAUGAGACCAAGAAGAAUAUCUGAGAACCAUUCAAAAUUCAUGGUUGUGCAGUAUCCAUUGUUAUUCCACUACGGAGAAGAUGGGUACAGAGGAAAUAUAAAUUGCACAAUAAAAGAAGGUGCAAAAUGCAAGAGAAAGCAUGUAGGCACUUGCUGGUGUGUGAAAAGCUUAAAUUGCAGUUCAAUAUGGAUGCCUUUGCAGGAAUUUUGCAGUAGUGCAGUACAAAUAGACUGCAUGAAAAGACAUAAAGGAAACCUAAGAACGCAAUUAUAUGCGGGCUUGCAAGACACAAUAGACAGAGGAGGUGCAAGGGCUGCCCAGGUAUGA